AUAAUAAUAAAAUCAUACAUUUAUUGUGAUGGAUCUUGACUAUGCAAGGUGAUUACUCUAUGGACAAGAAAAAAAGGAUAGUCUAAUACUCAAAUAUCUUUAUUUAUACUCUGAAUUUGGAAUGCUAUAAGUAGCUAACAGAAUGCCUAGAUAGAUAUUCUCUAUAGGUAUGCUAUAAGUAGCUCUAGUGGCAGUUGGUCGAGCUGGAAUGUCGGCUUUGUGAGGGGAAGCACACAGGCUUGUGUCUUUUGGUUCUGUUGGGCAUGGAGGGGUCAUUUGCAUGCUUGUAAGUUCUGUAAGUGAGAAGUGACUUACUGGCAAGUCACUUAUAGGUGGUGUUUGGGGGAGGAAAUUCACUUGUGUAACUUAUAGGAAAAAUUGCUAGGAAAUUUCAAAGGACUGGGAGUGAGAAGUCACAUCUUUGUAAGUGAUUUAUAGCUGAAAGUCACUUACAACUUAAAAGCUUACAGGCAUCCAAAUGACCCCUGAAGUUGGUCAUCACUGUCUUCUUUGGUUGUCCUUUGAGAGUUGUUUAACUUAUGAGUUUCGACUCUGUCAAACUUUUUGCAGGGUUUCAUAAUGCAGGAUAUACUUCCUGAGCAGCUCCAAACUGCUACAGAAACCUUAGAGCUGCCAAUUCCCAUGACAGCUACCCAACAUGAUUCAUAUGAUAAAGGCGAUGGAGAUGAUUUGUGGUGUGAAGAUGGUUCCUUUUAUGAUGUUUCCGAUGAUGGCUCUGGUAAAACAUCUGAUCUGGACAGGGAGUGGGAGAGGAGGCACAACCAAUUCCACACAGGAUCCUGAUGAAUUACGCUAAUCUGCAUGUCUGAACCCUUGACUUAUUUGCAUACGUCCAGAAGAGGCUUGCUAAUUCUACUGACACCUCUACUAGCUGGCAUACAUGGCAUACAUGAAAAGCAUGCUGUUAAUCAUGUGGGCCAAAGCUUAUAGAUGCUCCAGCCCAAAAAGUCAACCUAGCCCAUUCAUCAGGUUGGCCACAUGUUUAUGGAAAAUGGAUGGUUUAGAAAAUAGCAAACAAUAUGAUGUGGUAGAUGAUUUAGCCAGGAAAGGAUUUUCUCUAAUCUGUUUCUGGGGUCUCCCUCUUUUGUAGCUCUCUUUCUUUCUUUCUUUUUUAAUGACAUAGUUUCCUCCACUUUGAAAAAAGAAUUUUAAAGAGGAAAAGAUGAGCAAUCUGCAUUCAAUGUGUUUGUUUGGACUGCUUGAUGAUCCAAUAUUUCUAAUUUAUGGGUUAGGACACCUUGAACGCGUUGCAUGUGUGCCUACGGAUUGGCGUGUGGUCAGAUUAGCUAGCCUCUAUCUGCAAAGUAAAAUAAUCAUAAUAAUAAUAAUAUAAAAUAACUUUGAUAUUUGGAUUCUUGAUGUGUUUUUGGAUUGGUUAUCGAGAUGGUCUCAUGACAGGUAAAGAAGCUUCUGCACAAGAGGGUUUCGUUGGCGGCUUUAAGCAGUCGGUGCUUAUUGGGUAGAAAUGGGGCCUUGUUAGAGGUGUCUCCAGUGCAUUAGCUCUGCUUCCAGAUCAUUUGAAAGAAAAGAUGGUAGGAGAACUAGAAAUGAGGGAGAGGCUUCAGAACUUGUAUGAGUCCGUGCACUCCAUUUCAACAAAAGACGCACUACAGUGGUUUCGUGAUGACAUCUUGGGUAGCAGAUCAGAGCAACCUCACAAUCACUUGGAGGGAAAUGCUGAUGUAGCAACCUUGCCGGAUGAUAUUUCACGAUGCAACCAGCUGGAAAGGUUUUCAAAGGAGCUUGAAUCCCUUCUUCGCGAGUGUCCUUCCAUUCAAGUGCAUCCGGCUGUGGACCGAAAGACAGUUAUAUGACUUUUUUCCUACAAGUUGGAGAUUUUUCUGCUUGUAAAUAUGGCUUCUUUUUUCUUCUUUUUUCUUUGUUUUUUCUCUGUGUGUGUGUGUGUAAUGUCAGUUAUUGUUAGGAUCUAUUCCUCCCACCCACAUAUACAGAAGUUGUCAUUGUAUUUAUAAGCUAUGCUGUUUUCAUUGGAAUCUGUCAAAACAAGCUUCCUUUUGUAGAAACUGAAACAGUGGUUUCUCACUGACUAUAUGCAGUUUAUAUACCAAUCUUAAUUUUUAUUUGGUUUAGCUGUAAUGCUAAUCAUGAUCUGGAUUGCAUUGGUUCUCAAUAUUAAAAAAUCGCCAUUUCUUUGGUGUU